GACGAACCGUGCGAACGUUAUUCGGAAUCACUGGGCUUAAAGCGUGUGUAAGCGGAUCGGUAAGUACCUUGUGAAAUCCCACAGCUUAACUGUGGAACUGCUUGGUAUACUGCCAGUCUUGAGCCAGCUAGGGGCUACCGGAACAAAUGGUGGAGCGGUGAAAUGCGUAGAUAUCAUUUGGAACGCCAAUGGUGAAAACAGGUAGCUGGGGCUGUGCUGACGCUGAGACACGAAAGCCAGGGGAGCAAACGGG
rnacentral:rRNA from 1 species